AGAGUUUGAUCAUGGCUCAGAUUGAACGCUGGCGGAAUGCUUACACAUGCAAGUCGAACGGCAGCACGGGGCAACCUGGUGGCGAGUGGCGAACGGGUGAGUAAUAUAUCGGAACGUGCCCAAUCGUGGGGGAUAACGUAGCGAAAGUUACGCUAAUACCGCAUACGAUCUACGGAUGAAAGCGGGGGAUCGCAAGACCUCGCGCGAAUGGAGCGGCCGAUAUCAGAUUAGGUAGUUGGUGGGGUAAAGGCUCACCAAGCCAACGAUCUGUAGCUGGUCUGAGAGGACGACCAGCCACACUGGAACUGAGACACGGUCCAGACUCCUACGGGAGGCAGCAGUGGGGAAUUUUGGACAAUGGGCGCAAGCCUGAUCCAGCCAUUCCGCGUGCAGGAUGAAGGCCUUCGGGUUGUAAACUGCUUUUGUACGGAACGAAACGGUCUGCCCUAAUACGGCAGGCUAAUGACGGUACCGUAAGAAUAAGCACCGGCUAACUACGUG
rnacentral:rRNA from 1 species